rnacentral:lncRNA from 1 species
GGAAUAAGAAGAAGAAGACAGAUGACGUGGCAAUAAAUGAGUCGUGAAGCAAAGCCUUGGAAUGAAGUGGAGGGUUCGUUUUGUCAAACGUCUAUAAAAGAGCCGUUGCUCUGUAUCUAUCUUUUCUCAUGCUUUUAUUGUGAUUGUGUGUGUGUGACGAGCCUGCGUGCUUGUGAGGGAAGAUCUGUGUGAGAUCGACCUCGGAGAUUGAUUCGUAACUUGUUGUUGCGGAUUGAUUGUUGAUUUUCUGGUUUAUCGAUUUGUAAACUUCGUUAUUCAAAUCGAUCGGAAAGUUAUAUUGAUUCUCUGGGUUUUGAGUUAUUGAUCAUCUCUCUGGGUUUUGUGUUUGGUUCAUUCGAUUGCGUUAAACCUUAACAUUGGUGCGGUGAAACUGGUUCGUUACGUGUGUUGAUCAUGGAUCGCGAUGGAUCUGAUGUGUUUGAAGAAGAUACGGGUUCUUCUGAUGCAAUAUAUGUGCAGAUGAGGAAUUUGCGUUUGGGUUUUCAGGGUUUGUGUGAAGCGAAGGUGGAGACGGAGUCUAAGCUUGUGUCGUUGGAAGAGUUGCUCAAAUCGGUGGUGAAAACGUUGGAUCGUUUGGAGAUUCGAGCUGGAAAACACGUUGAUGAUGGUGAGCCUUCCCGACAGUCGUUUUCGGGUCAGAUUCUUCCUGAUCUCCACUCGUCGGAAACUCGAUCAUCGGGGUUACCUCUGGAAACUCGCGAAAAUCUGUUAAAAAAAAUUAAGAUGCCUGUGUUUACUGGAUCGCAGCCGUAUGCUUGGAUUUCACAGGUGGAGCGUUUUUUUCGGGUGGGUCGUUUUAGCGAUGCGGCUAGGUUGGAUUUGGUUUCCUUAAGUUUGGAAGGGGAUGUGUUGAAAUGGUUUAACUGGGAGGUUUCGCGUCGUGAUUUUGGGUCUUGGGAGGAGUUUAAGAAUCGUUUGUUGAUUCAUUUUGGGGGUACGAUUGAUGAUGAACCGGGGAAUAGACUAUUUGCCAUUAAACAGGUAGGAUCAGUGGCUGCAUACAUCACUGAAUUUCAGGAUUUAUCUUCUCAAGUGAUGGGGUUGGAUGAUACACACUUGGAGAAAAUUUUUUAUAAUGGUCUUAAGCAUGAGAUGAAGGAGGUGAUCAAAAUGAAAGAACCUAAGGGACUUCCAAAUCACAUUACAGCGGUGUUGAAAAUGGAAUCAAGCUCUUUUUGCAAAUUGGUUGGUGAAACUGGUGAAGGAAAGAAGCAACAAAGUCAGCCUAUUCCUCCACCUGCACGGCCAGUGUUUACUUCCAAUGCUCCUAAACCAGUAGGGAUUCCUCAAAGUUCUUAUAUUGGGAAGUCUCCAGAGAGCAGUCCAAAGCCUCUGGGUCGUCCGCGUAUACGCCAUAAUGAUGCAGAGUUGGAUGCUAUGCGCAGUAAGGGCCUUUGUUUUAAAUGCAAGGGCAAGUAUUUCAGAGGGCAUGAAUGUCCUAUGCGUGAGUUGCGUGUGAUGACAGUGGUUAAUGGUUAUGAAUUAGAAGUGUUGGAGGAGAAUAUGAUCGAGUGCACUGAAGAAGAAGGGGUGUUGGAUAUGGCACCUGUCACUGAGUUGAAGACUUUGUCUUUCAAUUCUUUCAUGGGGUUGCAUUCUCCCCGGACUACCAAGUUGGUGGGAUGGAUUGGUAAGCACAGGGUAAUUCUCAUGAUUGAUUGUGGGGCUUCCCACAAUUUCCUUACUCCUGCUUUGGCUCAAAAAUUGAAACUGCAAGUUACACCUGAUGCAAGUUUGGAUAUCCUGUUGGGAAAUGGAGCUAUUGUUCAGGGGUUAGGGGUUUGUAAAGGAGUACAUUUUCAGUUGUCUGGCGUUGGAUUCACAAAUGAUUUCAUCACACUGGAGUUGGGGAGUGUUGAUGUUAUUCUUGGAGUUCAAUGGCUGGAAACAUUGGGAAAAUGUGAAGUAGACUGGAAAUUGCAGGAAUGGCGAUUUAUGUAUAAUGGGGAACCAGUACUCUUGCAUGGAGAUCCUACUUUACAUAGGUCUCCCCUGUCUUUGAAAAGGUUAGGUGCACCUCCUGCUGUUGGACAUACUAAGACUCAGUUGGCUGUGCUGAAGGGGAGUGAGCCUCCAGCCCCUGUUUCUUUGGUACCUCCUGCAGUAGAUGAGUUGUUGCAUCAGUUUCCUUUUGUGUUUGCUUUGCCUUCUGGGUUACCACCAUUGCGUGGUCAGGAGCAUGCAAUCACUCUUUAUCCUGGUGUCACUUCUAUCUAUGUCAGGCCCUACCGUUAUCCUCAUGCCAGGAAAGAAGUAAUGGAGUCAUUGGUAGGGGAUAUGCUGACUUCUGGGAUCAUACAACCUAGCACCAGUCCUUUCUCCAGCCCUGUGUUAUUGGUCAAGAAGAAAGACGGCUCUUGGCGAUUUUGUGUUGAUUACAGAGCCCUCAACAAAGUGACAGUCCCGGAUAAGUUUCCUAUUCCGGUUAUUGACCAGUUGUUGGAUGAACUGAAUGGGUCUACUAUUUUUUCCAAGCUUGAUUUGCGAUCCGGGUAUCAUCAAAUAAGGAUGAAGCCGCAAGAUGUGGAGAAAACAGCUUUCAGAACACUUGAGGGGCACUAUGAAUUUCUUGUGAUGCCUUUUGGUUUGACAAACGCACCAGCUACCUUUCAGGCACUCAUGAACAAGAUUUUCAAACCAUUUCUCCGGAAGUUUGUUUUGGUUUUUUUUUGAUGAUAUCUUGGUCUUCAGUAACAACCUCACUUCUCAUGUGGAGCAUCUCCGGUUGGUGCUGCAGUUACUGGAGAAGCAUGUGUUAUUUGCCAACAAGAAGAAAUGCUCUUUUGGUGUCUCACAUGUUGAGUACUUGGGACAUAUUAUUUCUCGGCAGGGUGUGGCUACAGAUUCCACCAAAACCGAAGCUAUGCGAUUGUGGCCAACACCAACUAAUGUGAAACAACUCAGAGGGUUUUUAGGCCUGACAGGGUAUUACAGAAAGUUUGUUCAGGGGUAUGGGGUCAUUGCUAAGCCAUUGACUGACUUGUUACGCAAAGACCAGUUUGAGUGGACUCCUACAGCUCAACAAGCGUUUGAGAAGCUCAAAGUUGCCAUGGUGUCUGCUCCAGUGCUUGGUUUGCCUGAUUUUUCUCAAAAAUUUGUAGUGGAGACUGACGCCUCUGGUGUGGGAGUGGGGGCGGUGUUGAUGCAGGCAGGCAGACCUCUGGCAUACUUCAGUCAUGGUUUGACACCCAGGGAGCAACUCAAGCCAGCCUAUGAAAGAGAACUAAUGGCCAUUGUGCUAGCCGUCUUGAAAUGGAAACACUAUCUCAUUGGCAGGUGUUUUGUCGUUCAUACAGAUCAAAGGAGCCUCAAAUAUUUACUGGAGCAGAAGGAAGUAAGUAUGGAGUAUCAGAGAUGGUUAACCAAAUUGUUGGGGUUUGAUAUGGAGAUUUUUUACAAGCCUGGGGUUGAAAACAAGGCUGCUGAUGGGUUGUCUCGGAUGCCUCAGCCAGUGUUGUGUUCUUCUCUGUCAUUGCUAGCACUCACUGUUCCAGCAGUGCUACAACUACAAGACAUCUACAAAGAGAUUGAGGAGGAUGCCACCAUACAAGCUCAGAUUGCUUUGGUGCAAACCAAUCCAGACAAAUAUGUGAAUCAUCAAGUGCAACAGGGUAAACUUUGGUACAAGAAACGUCUGGUUAUCUCUAAACAGUCUAAAUUCAUUCCAUUACUAUUACAAGAGUAUCAUGACAGUAAGCUUGGGGGUCAUGCGGGUAUUUUGAAGACAAAGAAACGGAUUCAAACUAUGUUUCACUGGGAAGGGUUACAGAAGGAUGUUCAGAAACAUGUAUCAGAAUGUGAGGUUUGCCAGACACACAAAUCAACUACUUUGUCACCUGCAGGGUUGUUACAACCUCUUCCCAUUCCAGACCGAGUUUGGGAAGACUUAUCAUUGGAUUUUAUUGAGGGGCUGCCCAAAUCUGGAGGUGUCAAUGCUAUUCUGGUAGUGGUUGACCGUUUCAGCAAGUGUGCACAUUUCGUGGGGCUAUCACAUCCUUUUUCAGCUUCUGAUGUUGCUCAUAAGUUUGUCACUGAAGUGGUUCGUCUUCAUGGCUUCCCAAAGACUUUGGUGUCUGACCGUGACAGAGUGUUUUUGAGUUCUAUGUGGAAGGAGUUGUUUAAACUGGCUGGGACCAAGCUGCAGUACAGUACAGCAUAUCAUCCCCAAUCCGAUGGUCAGACGGAAGUGCUUAACCGUUGCUUGGAGUCUUAUUUGCGCUGUUUUGCUUCUCAACACCCACGCACAUGGGCUAAGUACCUGGCUUGGGCGGAAUUUUCUUACAAUACAUCCUAUCAUUCUGCCCUGAAGACAUCACCCUUCCAGGUGGUUUAUGGGAGAGACCCUCCUACUGUCCUCCAUUUUGAGCAGGGUUCUACUGCCAACACUACUCUGGCAGCUCAGUUGCAAGAAAGAGAUGCAAUGUUGGCCAAGAUUAAGGUGAAUUUGGAACGAGCACAACAGUUGAUGAAGCGCAGUGCGGACUUGAAACGCAGAGAAGUGGAGUUUGCAGUAGGGGAUUGGGUUUACUUGAAACUCCAACCGUAUCGGCAACAGUCUGUGACUCGCCGGGUCUGUCAGAAACUGGCUGCCAAAUUUUUUGGUCCCUUUGAGGUUAGUGAGAGAAUUGGGAAGGUGGCUUACCGCCUAAAGCUUCCUCCAGCGGCGGCUAUCCAUCCAGUGUUCCAUGUUUCGCAGUUGAAAGCAUCCUUGGGGUCUCAUCACCAGCUCCAAACAGACUUACCAGCUCUUACGGAUGCAGAGGAUUCCGUGUUACUGCCUGCGACGAUCUUGGAUAUGCAACACAAUGCUACGGGUGGUCGCGAGGUCUUGGUUCAGUGGUCUGGGUUUCCGGAUGUUCCAAACUCAUGGAUGCUAUCUAAAGACUUCGUCCAACAAUACCCAUCCUUCAAGCUUGAGGACAAGCUUGUUUUUCAGGGGGGGUGUAUUGAUACGAUCCAUCAAGGCUACUAUCGGAGGAAUAAGAAGAAGAAGACAGAUGACGUGGCAAUAAAUGAGUCGUGAAGCAAAGCCUUGGAAUGAAGUGGAGGGUUCGUUUUGUCAAACGUCUAUAAAAGAGCCGUUGCUCUGUAUCUAUCUUUUCUCAUGCUUUUAUUGUGAUUGUGUGUGUGUGACGAGCCUGCGUGCUUGUGAGGGAAGAUCUGUGUGAGAUCGACCUCGGAGAUUGAUUCGUAACUUGUUGUUGCGGAUUGAUUGUUGAUUUUCUGGUUUAUCGAUUUGUAAACUUCGUUAUUCAAAUCGAUCGGAAAGUUAUAUUGAUUCUCUGGGUUUUGAGUUAUUGAUCAUCUCUCUGGGUUUUGUGUUUGGUUCAUUCGAUUGCGUUAAACCUUAACAC